rnacentral:sRNA from 1 species
UAUGUGUCCUAAGAUAUUGGAAUUCAAA